UUUUUUUCCAGUACCACGGAUCAAACUCAGGACCUUGUGCUUGCCACUGAGCUACAUUCCAAGCCUGACUGCACUGUCUGGAACGUGGGCCAAACUCCACAAUGACCCUCAGUGGGAGGACUCAGGAAGCCCGAGCAGAGUGGUCCUCCCUGCCUCUUUCCCUCAGCUGGGGCCGGGCAGGUCUGAGACAGUCGCACCCAGAGGAUGGGGCAGUGCUGUGAGCAGGUGCCUCUGACAGCCACAGGACCAGUCUGGGAGGCACCUUGCUUUUCUAACACCAUCACUGCAGCCUGGAUGGGAAAGCAGGGUCCAAGGAGGGAAGGGAAGGGGAACCAGGCACAAGAUUCGUCUGCUCCCCACUGUUACUGCCCAGUUACUGCGUCCAGCCCCGAGGAGCCCAGAGGAACAGCCUGGGAUGGACAGACAAGUCGGCAGGGCAGCCAGCUCUGACCACAGCCAUGGCUCCCAAUGUGGGCCCUGCAACUCCUGCGGCUUCCUAAGCAUCCGAGGUACAGGUCCUAAAGGAACACGCGGAGACGGCGUGGGAAAAAGUGGUGGAAGUGCCCUGGGCGUGCUGCGUGGCUCAGAGGUGGCCUCCGGACCUCUCUGAGCCCAUGGAAUACAGCUGGCUAAAGUUUCACACGUUGCGUGGACUAAUGAGAAUCGAAGGCUGGGAAAGUUCAUGUGGCCAAUCUACUUCUAGACUCCUUGUGUGGCUCUUAGAAUCUGUUUCUGGGUUUCAUGUCUACAAGACCUGAGGAUUUCCUGUCACAUCCACACCAAGGCUGGGGUGCACCGGGAAGGAGAAGGGGCCAAAGUGGCCAGGUGAUGUUUGUUCUCCAAGGGGAACAGGCGGAGCUCCUGCCAGUCCAUCAGCAGUCAGGAAACUCUCAACCCUGAGGCUGGCUGCCUAGGAGCCCUACUUCACAAGAGGACCAGGACUUCCCUCAGAUCACACAGCAACAGCUCCCACCAGGGCUUUGCAUGCUUUGAUGCAGGGGAUGCUGGGGGAAGCAGCCAUGGUCUGGGCAGUGGCUCAUUCUGAGGAGGGCUCGCCCGGGGGACAUUCUUGGGCAAGUCCAUUCACCCUGUUCUUGGUCCUGAGCCCUGGGUCAGGCUGUCCUGAGGAUGGUUCUGGUCACAGCCACAUAUGGUCACCUCUGUCCACGGCCCAACCCUGCCUUCUAAGCAGGAAGGCAGUACCCAGGUCCCACUGGACGGAGCCCUGCGCCAGGCCUGGCUCUCAGCACUGAGGAGGCACUGCUGCUCACUCCCCUACCUCAGGUGCCACAAGCUCUGGGUUGGAGACAGAGGUGUGCCUGUCUCCUCUUCCUGCCCCAGUGUAGGAAACAUGGCCAAG